rnacentral:rRNA from 1 species
UUCAUCGGUAUGGGAUGGGGUCGCGUCCUAUCAGGUAGUCGGCGGGGUAACGGCCCACCGAGCCUACGACGGGUAGCCGGCCUGAGAGGGCGACCGGCCACAUUGGGACUGAGAUACGGCCCAGACUCCUACGGGAGGCAGCAGUGGGGAAUAUUGCACAAUGGGCGCAAGCCUGAUGCAGCGACGCCGCGUGCGGGAUGACGGCCUUCGGGUUGUAAACCGCUUUUGAUCGGGAGCAAGCCUUCGGGUGAGUGUACCUUUCGAAUAAGCACCGGCUAACUACGUGCCAGCAGCCGCGGUAAUACGUAGGGUGCAAGCGUUAUCCGGAAUUAUUGGGCGUAAAGGGCUCGUAGGCGGUUCGUCGCGUCCGGUGUGAAAGUCCAUCGCUUAACGGUGGAUCUGCGCCGGGUACGGGCGGGCUGGAGUGCGGUAGGGGAGACUGGAAUUCCCGGUGUAACGGUGGAAUGUGUAGAUAUCGGGAAGAACACCAAUGGCGAAGGCAGGUCUCUGGGCCGUUACUGACGCUGAGGAGCGAAAGCGUGGGGAGCGAACAGGAUUAGAUACCCUGGUAGUCCACGCCGUAAACGGUGGAUGCUGGAUGUGGGGCCCGUUCCACGGGUUCCGUGUCGGAGCUAACGCGUUAAGCAUCCCGCCUGGGGAGUACGGCCGCAAGGCUAAAACUCAAAGAAAUUGACGGGGGCCCGCACAAGCGGCGGAGCAUGCGGAUUAAUUCGAUGCAACGCGAAGAACCUUACCUGGGCUUGACAUGUUCCCGACAGCCGUAGAGAUAUGGCCUCCCUUCGGGGCGGGUUCACAGGUGGUGCAUGGUCGUCGUCAGCUCGUGUCGUGAGAUGUUGGGUUAAGUCCCGCAACGAGCGCAACCCUCGCCCUGUGUUGCCAGCACGUCAUGGUGGGAACUCACGGGGGACCGCCGGGGUCAACUCGGAGGAAGGUGGGGAUGACGUCAGAUCAUCAUGCCCCUUACGUCCAGGGCUUCACGCAUGCUACAAUGGCCGGUACAACGGGAUGCGACACGGCGACGUGGAGCGGAUCCCUGAAAACCGGUCUCAGUUCGGAUUGGAGUCUGCAACCCGACUCCAUGAAGGCGGAGUCGCUAGUAAUCGCGGAUCAGCAACGCCGCGGUGAAUGCGUUCCCGGGCCUUGUACACACCGCCCGUCAAGUCAUGAAAGUGGGUAGCACCCGAAGCCGGUGGCCUAACCCUUUGUGGAUGGAGCCGUCUAAGGUGAGACUCGUGAUUGGGACUAAGUCGUAACAAGGUAGCCGUACCGGAAGGUGCGGCUGGAUCACCUCCUUUCUACGGA